GACGAACGCUGGCGGCGUGCUUAACACAUGCAAGUCGAACGGAAAGGCCCUGCUUUUGUGGGGUGCUCGAGUGGCGAACGGGUGAGUAACACGUGAGUAACCUGCCCUUGACUUUGGGAUAACUUCAGGAAACUGGGGCUAAUACCGGAUAGGAGCUCCUGCUGCAUGGUGGGGGUUGGAAAGUUUCGGCGGUUGGGGAUGGACUCGCGGCUUAUCAGCUUGUUGGUGGGGUAGUGGCUUACCAAGGCUUUGACGGGUAGCCGGCCUGAGAGGGUGACCGGCGACAUUGGGACUGAGAUACGGCCCAGACGCGUACGGGAGGCAGCAGUGGGGAAUAUUGCACAAUGGGCGGAAGCGUGAGGCAGCAACGCCGCGUGCGGGAUGACGGCCUUCGGGUUGUAAACCGCUUUCGCCUGUGACGAAGCGUGAGUGACGGUAAUGGGUAAAGAAGCACCGGCUAACUACGUG
rnacentral:rRNA from 1 species